rnacentral:rRNA from 1 species
CACGUAGGGCGCAAGCGUUGUCCGGAAUUAUUGCGCGUAAAGAGCUCGUAGGCGGUCUGUUGCGUCCGCUGUGAAAACUCGGGGCUUAACCCCGAGCCUGCAGUGGAUACGGGCAGACUAGAGGUAGGUAGGGGAGAAUGGAAUUCCCGGUGUAGCGGUGAAAUGCGCAGAUAUCGGGAGGAACACCGGUGGCGAAGGCGGUUCUCUGGGCCUUACCUGACGCUGAGGAGCGAAAGCGUGGGGAGCGAACAGG